rnacentral:rRNA from 1 species
UACGUAGGGUGCAAGCGUUGUCCGGAAUUAUUGGGCGUAAAGAGCUUGUAGGCGGUUUGUCGCGUCUGCUGUGAAAUUUCGGGGCUCAACCCCGAACUUGCAGUGGGUACGGGCAGACUAGAGUGUGGUAGGGGAGACUGGAAUUCCUGGUGUAGCGGUGAAAUGCGCAGAUAUCAGGAGGAACACCGAUGGCGAAGGCAGGCCUCUGGGCCACUACUGACGCUGAGGAGCGAAAGCGUGGGGAGCGAACAGG